UUUCAGACAAAAAUAUAUUUAAGACUAUCGUAUGUUUUAAUUUGUUUUCGUGAAUAAUUCUAGUGUUUGCUUGCCUUAAAUUCAUUGCUUUUUUUAUUACCUGUUCAUAUAUGGUGUUAGUAUUUAUCAUUCAUACAAAGCAGUACGACCUUUGGUAAGUCUUUAAUUCCCUCUGUGUCUUAGUAACUUCAUCUGAUUAAUUUUUUGAAGGGUUUUUUGUGUCUCUAUUUCCUUCAGUUCUGCUCUGAUUUUAGUUAUUUCUUGCCUUCUGCUAGCUUUUGACUCAAUCAGCCAUUCGUUCGACGAACAUGAAUUGCACAUUCUAUGUGCCAGGCGAUAUGCUGGACAAUGG
rnacentral:lncRNA from 1 species